GACGCACUCUCAGAGUUUGAUCCUGGCUCAGGAUGAACGCUGGCGGCGUGCUUAACACAUGCAAGUCGAACGAGAGAUACAGGAGGAAGUUUUCGGAUGGAAUCCGGUAGAUCGAGUGGCGGACGGGUGAGUAACGCGUGGGGAACCUGCCUCAUACAGGGGGAUAACAGUUGGAAACGACUGUUAAUACCGCAUAAGACCACAGAGUCGCAUGACUCAGGGGUAAAAACUCCGGUGGUAUGAGAUGGACCCGCGUUCGAUUAGCCAGUUGGCGGGGUAACGGCCCACCAAAGCGACGAUCGAUAGCCGAUUUGAGAGAAUGACCGGCCACAUUGGGACUGAGACACGGCCCAA
rnacentral:rRNA from 1 species